CACGUAGGGCGCAAGCGUUGUCCGGAAUUAUUGGGCGUAAAGAGCUCGUAGGCGGUCUGUUGCGUCGGGAGUGAAAACUCAGGGCUUAACCCUGAGCCUGCUUCCGAUACGGGCAGACUAGAGGUAUGCAGGGGAGAACGGAAUUCCUGGUGUAGCGGUGAAAUGCGCAGAUAUCAGGAAGAACACCCGUGGCGAAAGCGGCUCUCUGGGACGGUACUGACGCUGAGACGCGAAAGCGUGGGGAGCGAACAGG
rnacentral:rRNA from 1 species